rnacentral:rRNA from 1 species
UACAGAGGUCUCAAGCGUUGUUCGGAUUCAUUGGGCGUAAAGGGUGCGUAGGCGGCGCGGUAAGUCGGGUGUGAAAUCUUGGAGCUUAACUCCGAAACUGCAUUCGAUACUGCCGUGCUUGAGGACUGGAGAGGAGACUGGAAUUACGGUGUAGCGGUGAAAUGCGUAGAUAUCGUAAGGAAGACCAGUGGCGAAGGCGGGUCUCGUGGACAGUUCCUGACGCUGAGGCACGAAGGUCAGGGGAGCAAACGGG